GGGGAGAAGAACAAAUUGCUCCUAAAACAAGAAGAAAAUUUAAAGAGCAGAAAUCCCAUCAUUUUUUCUUCCGUCCGUUCACUUUUUCCAUCAGGGAAAUAGUGUCUAAUCCCUGGUCGUUAAACCAUUGGAUUGGGAUAUAUCAGUUUCAGAUAUUUAAGAAGAUCAUGAAGUCGGAGAGCGGGGACAAAAUGAUAACCCCGGUGAUCAAAGUCUGGACCAAAGUCUCCGAUCGUCUUCGCCGUCGAGAAAGUGGUAUUGUAAAACUCCAGAAAGACGUGAGGUUGUGCAAGUACGAGGAUGUCCAUACGUUGUGGGACAUGAUUCAGAAAAACGAGACCGAGCUCACCGGAGACGGGAAGAUGCCGUAGUUCCUCGGACUUAAUAUGUUCAAGCUUUGAACAAGACAUAUAUAUACAUAUAUACUAUGUGUUUUUCACAUGUUCUAAAACUAACUAUGGAUGUUGUUUGCUGUUUAUUGCAGCAACUGCUGUAGUUUAUCUUCUUUUUGAUGUAUUUCAUGUGACAAGAGAUUAGAUUUAUACAACCUAAAAAAAUUGCAAUGACAAUGUCAAGAAACCUUAUGAGAGGGCUGUUGUUAGAGGGAGGUGGUAGUUUUAUUAGGUUACCUCUUGGCCCUAGUUUGACAUGCUAAAAUAGUUUUCAAGUAUAUAUCUCAUGUUUGGUUCAUGCAACCAAAGUUUACAUACUAUAUAUAUUUAGAUAUAUAUUUAUUA